CAUAAACCAGAGGAGCCACACCUUAAGACAGGCUGAAUGUGACAUCCUGGGGAAACUUCCUCCUGAGACACUGUGCCUGCCUCUCCUCUAUCAGAUAUUCUUAAUACUGCGGUGAUCUUCUGUUGGUCUCCCGCAUAUGAGCAUCACCGCCUAGAGGAUUCUACAGCUCAAAGGGUUAAUAAUUUCUGAAGAGGCCAAUUUGCGGUGAGAGCUGACCUGAAUACUGCUAUCCUUGGGGGCUGCUCUGGAUCAUUUGCACUGACUCAGAAACCCGGGCUUAAAGCACACUUCGAACAUAAGGCUGCUGCCCCAGAAGCAAGGAUCUGGGACCCAAGGAAGGAGCCCCAUCCAGAUGGCAGUCUCUCACUGAUCCAGCAACCAACAGAAGGUCAUUGUUGGAGGCAGAGAGCUGUGGCUGCACUAGGCUAUUUACUUGUUCUAGAGAUGCCACUGGCAGUGAAAUAGGUCACACCCUAUUAAUCUGACUGGUAGGAAGAUAAGUUUUGCAAGAGUCUGGCUGGAAGGAUUUUA
rnacentral:lncRNA from 1 species